rnacentral:rRNA from 1 species
GACGAACGCUGGCGGCGUGCCUAAUACAUGCAAGUCGAGCGAACAGACGAGGAGCUUGCUCCUCUCACGUUAGCGGCGGACGGGUGAGUCACACGUGGAUAACCUACCUAUAAGACUGGGAUAACUUCGGGAAACCGGAGCUAAUACCGGAUAAUAUAUUGAACCGCAUGGUUCAAUAGUGAAAGACGGUUUUGCUGUCACUUAUAGAUGGAUCCGCGCCGGAUUAGCUAGUUGGUAAGGUAACGGCUUACCAAGGCAACGAUGCGUAGCCGACCUGAGAGGGUGAUCGGCGACACUGGAACUGAGACGCGGUCCAGGCUCCUACGGGAGGCAGCAGUAGGGAAGCGGCCGCAAUGGGCGGAAGCCUGACGGAGCAGCGCCGCGUGAGUGAUGAAAGUCUUCGGAGCGUAAAACUCUGUUAUUAGUGAAAAACAAAUGUGUAAGUAACUAUGCACGUCUUGACGGUACCUAGUCAGAAAGCCACGGCUAACUACGUG